rnacentral:rRNA from 1 species
GUAGGUGGCAAGCGUUGUCCGGAAUUAUUGGGCGUAAAGCGCGCGCAGGCGGGUUCUUUAAGUCUGAUGUGAAAGCCCACGGGCUCAACCGUGAGGGUCAUUGGAAACUGGAGAACUUGAGUACAGAAGAGGAAAGCGGAAUUCCACGUGUAGUGGUGAAAUGCGUAGAGAUGUGGAGGAACACCAGUGGCGAAGGCGGCUUUCUGGUCUGUAACUGACGCUGAGGCGCGAAAGCGUGGGGAGCAAACAGGAUUAGAUACCCUGGUAGUCCACGCCGUAAACGAUGAGUGCUAAGUGUUAGGGGGUUUCCGCCCCUUAGUGCUGCAGCUAACGCAUUAAGCACUCCGCCUGGGGAGUACGGCCGCAAGGCUG